UUUUUAUACAUCUAGAUCAAGAUUAUUCUUUACGAUUUUUAAUUUUUUUUGUUUUUACUUUCAGGUCUUAACAAAUAUAUUUUUGUUUGAUUUUCUUUGUCGUUUUUUGUUUUUGUUUUUGUCUCUUCUCUUAUCUUGUUCUUAUUAUGUCUUAUUUUGUUGUUUGAUGUUUGGAUUUUUCAGAUCUGUACAACAACUUAUCCCUCACGGCCUCUCUCUGUAUAUUUCGGCAUCUCGUGUGUAUUAAGGCACUGUGUUUGGGUCUUUUUUUUUUUUUUUUUUUCCGAUGGAUAUUUUCUGAUUUUUUGGUUAGAUUUGUUCUUUGUUGGUUCUUUCUCGCAUCGUGGCUAAGAUCCGCUGCCUAUGGCCGCGCGUAGCAGCCCACGACCACUGUGGAAGUUGGAUCUAUUGCUUGUUGCAUCUCCCUUGCAUCACAGUUCACAUCCGCUAUAAAUGGCCACCCGUGGCAGCCCACGACCAUGUCGGAAGCACAUAUGAAGAAAUUAGAAGAUGAAAUUUCAGAAGAUCGAAUUUGUUUGAUGGGUUUUUAUCUUUCAAUUUUUUUUUGCUAUAAUACAUAUGCAUAUCAUGUAAUUACAUAAUGUAACAAAUUCAUUCACACAAUACAAUUAAUUUUUAGAAUACUGAGAAAAACAAUAAAAACGUACUUACAAUUUCUGAA